UCCGGGUGCCAACGAGUCUUCUGACUGGAGAAAUGGCCACGCUCUGUCUCUUUGACAUGGAUGGGACCUUGACUGCCCCGCGGCAGUGCCAGGACGGAGGCCACUCCAGGUACUAGAUAAGCUACAGGGAAACUGCCUCUGUGUCCCUGGAUAGCAAAGAAGAGCCUGGUGACCAGAAUGUGCUUUCAGCAUUUGGAACGAUAUGCUUGCAGUGAUCACGGUCAAUUGCAGCAAUAAAAGAAAACUAACUUAGAAGUGAAGUCUCCUAUAUGCUGGGUACUGCAAUUAAAAUACUCCAGCAACAGAUCUAUGUAUCAUCAGCCUUCCCUCCCUCCAUCCGUGUGCAUCGUCAAACAUCACUAAUCACAGUGCAGUCUAGAAGAGGAAGAACAAGUCACCUUUCACUGUGAUUGUUGUAACGGGAUAUGACCUCUGUGGAUCCCAUGUGAUUAGCAUGGACUCAGAGAAAAUUACAAAAGAAAUGGAUGGCUUUCUUCAAAAAUUGAGACAGAAGACCAAGAUUGGAGUGGUAGGUGGGUCAGAUUUUGAGAAGCUGCAAGAGCAACUGGGAAAUGAUGUGGUUGAGAAAUACGAUUAUGUGUUUCCAGAGAAUGGCUUGGUAGCGUACAAAGAUGGGAAGCUAUUGUGUAAACAGAAUAUUCAAGGUCAUCUGGGGGAGGCUGUGAUCCAAGACCUGAUCAACUACUGUCUGAGCUACAUUGCAAAAAUUAAACUCCCUAAGAAAAG
rnacentral:lncRNA from 1 species